AACGAACGCUGGCGGCGUGGAUAAGACAUGCAAGUCGAACGAUGAUUGCAGGGUAGCAAUAUUCUGCAGUCAGAGUGGCGUAUGGGUGCGUAACACGUGGGUAAUUUGCCCUGAAGUGGGGGAUAACUCCGAGAAAUCGGAGCUAAUACCGCAUGUGAUCGAAAGAUCAAAGCUGGGUCGCAAGACCUGGCGCUUCAGGAUAAGCCCGCGACCUAUCAGCUAGUUGGCAGGGUAACGGCCUACCAAGGCAAAGACGGGUAGCUGGUCUGAGAGGACGACCAGCCACACUGGAACUGAGACACGGUCCAGACACCUACGGGUGGCAGCAGUCGAGAAUUUUUCACAAUGGGCGAAAGCCUGAUGGAGCGACGCCGCGUGGGGGAUGAAUGGCUUCGGCCCGUAAACCCCUGUCAUUCGGGAUCAAUGCGCCUGGCCUAAUACGCCAAGCGUUGAUAGUACCGGAAGAGGAAGGGACGGCUAACUCUGUGCCAGCCGCCGCCGUAAUAC
rnacentral:rRNA from 1 species